rnacentral:rRNA from 1 species
AAAACGACUCUCGGCAACGGAUAUCUCGGCUCUCGCAUCGAUGAAGAACGUAGCGAAAUGCGAUACUUGGUGUGAAUUGCAGAAUCCCGUGAACCAUCGAGUCUUUGAACGCAAGUUGCGCCCGAAGCCACUAGGCCGAGGGCACGUUUGCCUGGGCGUCACAC